GCGGAAGGCCGGAUGGCCGCGGGGGGUCUUGCCCCUCGAGGAAAGUCCGGACUCCACAAGGCAACGGUGCCGGGUAACGCCCGGCCGGGGCAACCCGAGGGAAAGCGCCACAGAGAACAGACCGCCGCGCUCGUCGCGGUAAGGGUGAAACGGUGGAGUAAGAGCCCACCGCGGGGCUGGCAACAGCCCCGGCAUGGCAAGCCCCACCGGGAGCAAUGCCGAAUAGGGAUCGCAUGCGGGGUCAGGUCGGGCAACCGAUACCGCCCGCAGGGACGCCUUGCCCCGGCGAUCCGGGUUGGCAGCUUGAGGUGCCGUGGUGACAUGGCACCCAGAGGAAUGGUCAUCCAAGGGGGAAACCCCUGGACAGAAUCCGGCUUACAGGCUUUCCGCGCCU
rfam:Roseovarius halotolerans strain CECT 8110 genome assembly, contig: 0001